rnacentral:lncRNA from 1 species
GACACAUCAGAGGAGUGUAUUAUUUGGAGGCUGUUAAGGAAUAUAUUUAAGUUUCACCUUUAAGCAGGCAGAUGGAUUUAGCACUGUUCCAGGACAGGGCACUUCUGGUGGCUCUCUGGGGUGAGGAGGAGGGAAAGCAGAAGGAAACAAAGGUGCUGAAAGCCCGUCUCACACAGCAGGCAGACAGAGUUCAGCAUUUCCUACUGCUCUAA